CCUACGGGAGGCUGCAGUGGGGGAUAUUGCACAAUGGGGGAAACCCUGAUGCAGCGACGCCGCGUGUGGGAAGACGGUCCUCUGGAUUGUAAACCGCUGUCCCCAGGGACGAAGAUGACGGUACCUGGGGCGGACGCUCCGGCUAACUACGUGCCAGCAGCCGCGGUAAUACGUAGGGAGCGAGCGUUGUCCGGAAUUACUGGGUGUAAAGGGAGCGUAGGCGGGACUGCAAGUUGGGUGUCAAAUCUACCGGCUCAACCGGUAGCCGCACUCAAAACUGCAGUUCUUGAGUGAAGUAGAGGCAGGCGGAAUUCCUAGUGUAGCGGUGAAAUGCGUAGAUAUUAGGAGGAACACCAGUGGCGAAGGCGGCCUGCUGGGCUUUUACUGACGCUGAGGCUCGAAAGUGUGGGGAGCAAACAGGAUUAGAUACCCUUGUAGUC
rnacentral:rRNA from 1 species